AUACGUAGGUGGCAAGCGUUGUCCGGAAUUAUUGGGCGUAAAGCGCGCGCAGGCGGUCCUUUAAGUCUGAUGUGAAAGCCCACGGCUCAACCGUGGAAGGUCAUUGGAAACUGGGGGACUUGAGUACAGAAGAGAAGAGUGGAAUUCCACGUGUAGCGGUGAAAUGCGUAGAGAUGUGGAGGAACACCAGUGGCGAAGGCGACUCUUUGGUCUGUAACUGACGCUGAGGCGCGAAAGCGUGGGGAGCAAACAGGAUUAGAUACCCUGGUAGUCCACGCCGUAAACGAUGAGUGCUAAGUGUUAGAGGGUUUCCGCCCUUUAGUGCUGCAGCAAACGCAUUAAGCACUCCGCCUGGGGAGUACGGCCGCAAGGCUGAA
rnacentral:rRNA from 1 species